rnacentral:rRNA from 1 species
UACGUAGGGUGCGAGCGUUAAUCGGAAUUACUGGGCGUAAAGCGUGCGCAGGCGGUUCGCCAAGUCAGGUGUGAAAUCCCCGGGCUUAACCUGGGAAUUGCGCUUGAAACUAGCGGGCUUGAGUGUGGCAGAGGGGGGGUGGAAUUCCACGUGUAGCAGUGAAAUGCGUAGAGAUGUGGAGGAACACCGAUGGCGAAGGCAGCCCCCUGGGUCAACACUGACGCUCAUGCACGAAAGCGUGGGGAGCAAACAGG